rnacentral:rRNA from 1 species
GACAGAGGGUGCAAACGUUGCUCGGAAUUACUGGGCGUAAAGCGCGUGUAGGUGGAUUGGUGUGUUAGAUGUGAAAGCCCUGGGCUCAACCCAGGAAUUGCACCUGAAACUACCAGUCUUGAGUGGUGGAGAGGGAAGUGGAAUUCCUGGUGUAGAGGUGAAAUUCGUAGAUAUCAGGAGGAACACCAGUGGCGAAGGCGGCUUCCUGGACACCAACUGACGCUGAGACGCGAAAGCGUGGGGAGCAAACAGG